UCAUCAAUUGUGACGUCUAAUAAAAUGACGUUGACAUCCGACUAUUGUGAAAACAUGAGUAUUCUUUCAUGCAUUUUACACAAAUAUUUAUAAGCUGUAUUAUGUGCUGCUUUUGCGGCCUUUGCAAAUUACUUUGCAUGCUUAUACCGAUAACAAUAGCAGUUAUUGUGGGUGUGUUUAUAUACAACUCUAUGAAGAAGGUGUGGCCGGAACUACCUUGAUUGAGUUGAGAAUCAAUCACGAUCUCUAAACGCGACUUACCUUAAGCGUUAAACAGUAUUACUGAAAAAUUAUAGAUUAAUACUUAUAUUUUAUAAUGUAUUUGUAUAAACAAUGUAAUGUUAUAUAAUAUAUCGAAACGAUGUAAUAGUUGAAAGACUGGUGUCGCUCGACGAACUAGCAACGCUUUCGUUCUGGUCCCACUCAUGCGAGUUAAGUUAAAUUUAACAUUUAAUUUAACAUUUGAUGGGUUAUUUGAUAAGUGGCAAAAUAUUCUAAUAUUUUAAUCCUCAGUGCUUCAAUAGAAACAUUAAGUCAUCAAAAGGCUGCAGUCACUAGAUCAUCAUAUAUACCCUGCUAUUUCAAUUUCCUAACCGUAAAAGCUGGCGUAAUAUCGUUGUAAGCAAUGAGGCUUUAGGGCUAGCAGCACAAGUAACCGUAUGUCUCAUAUUGGGUGUUAUAGGAAUAUUCACUUUGAUUUUUCUGAUGGCAGCGGAUGUGAUUUAAUAAUGAAUUUUAGGGUGAAGAUUGCAAAUAAUUUCGUAACUAGACCGCUGGAAUUGAAAAGGAUUUUAUUUAAAAACAAAACUUUAUCUGAAGAUGAAGAAGAAACUAAGCGUAAACUUUUAAGUGACGUGAUUGUUUGUCCUAUUAUUGUUGUAAUAAAUCUAAUUUUAC